GAAAUGAGUGGUCUUCCAAGUGUGUAAGAGGGAGAGCAGCAUUCUGAAACUGUGAAUUCCUGGAACAUGUACUUCCUUGCUUCCUCUCACUGCUGGAGCCUUAAUCUUGGUGUUUCAGGCCUGGACUUUUGGGCCCCAAGCUCGGGCUACUGUUUGUCCUCAUGCAAACUGGACUCCUGCUGGUCUGCCCUGCAGUCGCAGCACCCUGAGACAGGUUCCUAGAGACUCCAGUUUCCAGACCCAAGGCCACGCCUGGGCCCAGGUUCUGAAUGGACUGCCCUCUUGAAAACACAAAGCCUGGGGAGUGGGUGCAGCUCAGUGGUCGAGUGCCUACUUCCCACGUACGAAGCCCCAGGCUCAAUCCCUGGUACCACCCCCCACAAGAAAACAUGAAACAUAUUUGAUUAACUUGACUUUGCUUUCCCAAACAUUCUCAAACUGGUGGCACAUUGGAAUCACUUGGAGCGUUUCAAAGACACUGGUGCUGGCUCCAGCCACAAAGCUUCUGAUGUAAUCAGUCUGGGGUAGGGUCUGGCAUUGGGAUGUUUCAAGAGCUCCACAGGUGUUCCCAAUACACAGCCAGGCUGGAGAAUCGCCGACUGAAAACAGGACUUCUCUGCUUUCAUAUUUGUAUCUAAGGAUUGGGUUGAAUGUAAAAUAGUCACUUUAAGGAAGUUAGAAAAAAUGAGGGAAAGAUAUUGGAGAUGAACUAAUUUCUUUACUGAAUAAAUAAACCAUUAACAGUGGGGCAAGAUCAGGGCUCUUUGUCAUUAACUUAACUUGGAGGG
rnacentral:tRNA from 1 species